GUCAUGGGUUCACCAAGGUUUCCAAGGAAGUUUUGAAAGAGGCUUUGGUAGUCUCUCGGCGGCCUGUGGCAGAACCAGAGUCUUCGCAGGCAGCUUCUAGGAGGCGAUGUGCGAGACCGGAGCCGAGCCUGCUUUGGAAACCCCAGGAAGAUCGGGAACCUGGACUGACUACUCAAGAAUUCUGCAGCCAGCAAGUGGAGCCAGCUGAAGAAAGAGAUGUGUGGGCUCCUGCCAGAAAAGGGGGGGGGGCUGCUGCAAGUCUUCGGAGCUCAUAUCCCAGUAUCAUAUGUACAGCUGUUAGUCACAGAAGUACAGCUUUUAAUAUUUGCUUAACUGAGUUCCCAUCUUGCUUUUGGUCUGAUCCUUCUUCUCCAUGACUCCACCUCCCCCUUCUGAAUGACAGUAUUUGUGCCACUGUGUAUUGGAAGUAUGCAACUUGUUUGAUUUUCAAAAUGUUAUAUCAUUUCCCCCUUCCUCCCUCCAGCUCUCUCAUGCUCCCACACCCCAUUCUCUCUCAAAUUCAUGUUCUCUUUUUAUUUAAUUAAAUAAUACCUGUUGGGUCUAUCUAAUGUGCUUGAAUGUAUAUGUUUCUAGGACUGACCACUAGAUAUUGGAUAUUGGAUAAUCAAUUAGAGGCCACAUACUGGGGAAAGUCUAAUUCUGCCCCCCCCUCCUACCCUAUGCUUUCUCCUCUCUCCUCUCUUUGAACAGCAUUGCCUUACUGCACGCCCCUGCUCCCCACAAUGAUUUUCUGCUUCUCACAGACCUAACUGGUGGCCAGACAGCCACAGCCUGAAACUCCUGGACCCACUCUCCCUUCGAUUUGAUCUAUCUCUGGCAUUUUGUCACUGCACUGGAAAUCUGACUAAAGCAUCAUGAGAAUUGGAACCUAUUUGGAAAUCGGAUACUUUCAGGUACAAUCAUAAUACAACAACGAGAAAAAUUAUGAUUUUUUUUCUCCUAGGCAACAGCUGUAUUGUGAGGAUGCUGAAUAGCUCCUUUGUAGCCACCCUCUGUCAGAAAUCAGCUGAAGUGGAUGCUGAUUGUAAGCUCCACACCUGCUGAGAGACGCUGUGACCACCGAAGCAGCUGCCGAUACUCUGGGUGAAGGUGGAAGGCUUAUGUGAGUCGAAUCCAUAGCAAGAAUGCCAGACAAGGUUUUGACCCACAGCAGAGUGCACCAAUGUUAAGUAAGGAGCAUUCUUGCUAUCUACACCAAGGAGGACUGUUGAGAAGUACAGGUCUUUUCAGGGAUGCAUUGUGGAGUUCAAUCUGUGUAUUCUCAACUUGGUUACUGUAAAGAAGAAAAGAGAGUGGGGUGGCUAUUCCUGGACUGGCAGAUACUAGGAUGCUUCAGAGGUUGGGGCCCAAAAGGACUAGCAGAAUUCCAAAACUUUCUGAUCUCUAAAGAAGGUGAUGUCUGCCAAAAUGCUGUCAGGAAGCCCUUAAACAAAGAAGAUAAGAAACCCAGGACCAAAGUCCCUAAGACUCGGUGUCUUGUUACUCCACACGUCCCAACUUCUUGCUCUGAAGAUACAACACACUAAGAAAAUUUGCCAUCCACUUCUCAGAGAGGCUCUAGGAAGCUAAUUCCUCUGUGAAAUUUGUCCUGACGGCAGCUGAAAUAGAGGAAGAACGUCAAAGCAACUCGAUGUGUUUAUUCUUCCAUCUGGAAAGACAAGGACACAGAGCGUGGUACUUGGAGUAGGGGAAAAAACUCAAAAAGAUUUGCAUGUUUCAUUUAUCCAUUGCAAGGCAAUAAAGAAAGCAUCCUAAUAACUAGC